rnacentral:lncRNA from 1 species
GAUAUUCGAUCCAAACGUACUGCAUAGUCCGGAUGCAAAUACUCAAUGUCCCUAAACUCCAUCCACUCCCAUUAUCAAAUAGAUAGAAGAACUCAGUUUUCACAAAACAAAAAGAAGUUACUCCAUAUCAGUUUGUAGUCUUUUCCAGAGAAAUUAGGCCUUCUUUUUAAGAUUCCUAGAAACCUAAAGAAUUUACCAUACUACAAAUAUGGUACAUUAGCAAAAUUGACAUAAUUCCUUUGUACUAUAUAGUUUGAGAGGACCUUUAAAGAAUUUUUUUAUAGCAUAUUAUGGCUUCUAAAGAAAUAACAACUAGACUCAACUAAGAAUGACCCAACCAGACUACGGGGAUUUCUCCUGGUGCCAAACGAAAUAAAGUUUUGACCCUUUUGAUUUUCCAACAUUCCCAACAGUUGGAAAAAAUGAAGUGAAAUUACAAGAUCCAUACAAACAUGUAGCGUUUCAUUUCCAAUUAAUUUAUAUAAGUAAAGGGGAGAGAAUUAGUUUUUUGUUUUAUUUAUUAAAAAAAAAAAAAAAAAAACUUAAUUUAAACUGACUAUUAGUAACAGUGAACAACUAAUAUCAUUUAUCAAAGUGAUUGUGUGUGACAUUAUACAUACAUAUAUAGAGAGGGGAAAAGAGUAAAACCUUAAGGACGAGAUAGAAUUUGGCAUAGUUGCAGAGAUAUUUGAUGUACCUGUAGAGCUGGUGGAUUUUGUUAUAUUGAUUUAAGGUCUGUGCCUCCGUACCGGCUUUGAUUCCUAACGCCGACAACCUCCGGUGGAAAAGCACAUCUCUCUCCCUCCUUGUUGUUCGACUACCGGUGCCGUAGAAAAAUAUCAAACCAAUGACGAUACUAUAUCGUGAAAGCGACGGCUAGGAUUCAUCAUCGUCUGUUUCGGUAAAAUAUGAUAUGCCUUGGAGUUGGG